UCAUUAUGCAAACAAGUGCAAUCAGGAAAUAAAUACUAUAACUGAGCAAGUAUCAUUUCACAUCAAACAAACAAGAAGAAUUAAAAAGAGUUAGUUUAUUGGCUCUUGUUGGUUGAUCAUUGAUUUUUAAUACUGCGGUUGUUCAGUUAUAGUUUUUAUUUCCUCGUUACACUUGUUUGCAUAAUGA